UUGAUGGGGUUCAUCUACGCCUGCUAUGUGGUCAAGCUCAUUUCAGAAGAAGAGGAUAGCUUUGAUUUUAUAGGAGGGUUCGACUCAUACGGUUACCAGGGGCCUCAGAAGACCUCCCACCUUCAGCUACAGCCCAUGUACAUGUCGAAGUAAACCCAGGAGCUACUCCCGGAGCGCUGCCUUACCAAUCACCACUGCUUAACAUCCUGCUCCUACUACUCAGACUGUCUCUUGAUAAACAACAACAAAGACAAGUAGACAGGAUACAGAAGAUAUUCUGCGUCUCAGCCUACAAAUCCCCUCUCUAGUACUUGGUCAGAUUGCCUCUCUGGUCUGCUGUUUAUAACCGAGUCAGGUCUGUUCCUGAUGAAACACUGGCCUCGUGUGGCUGAACAUGGCAACUGCAGGACAUGUGAGCAACACCAGUCCAUGCAGCUUCUAUAACAGCUGCUUUUUUUUUGUCUCUGUUGGACACAAUCAGGAGUGGACGACUUGCUUCCUCUUGUGAGGUUGGGUAUCUGCAUUGUGAAGGAAACCACAGGGAUGUAGAGAAACCCACUGGAGUUCAGCCCUGUUUCUUCAAGCUACUGCAGACACGUGCAGGUAUGCCUGACCAAAGAGUUUAAAUAAAACAGAGACACAUCGUCAUGUAUAAAUAGAGUCUGUUUAACCAUCUCUGGAACUUUCUGCUCUCUGUGCCUGACACAUCAGACACUGGACUUCCAACCAGACCGACUGAGCAUCAUUUAACAACACUACCGAUACAGGAAUGUCAGACAUCUUUUUUUCUAAGGUUACUUUUUGGUGCAUUCGGACUCUUGUUGCAGCAAAGACGGGAGCUCGAACACAAUUUUAUUCCGUGGUUUCAUCUGAAACGUUGAAUGUCAAACAACAGCUCGACAUGUAGAUUUACAUACCUUCAUUCCACAUGUGCAUGUGUAUACGAAACACACACAUUCACAUAGACAGGCAUUCAGUAAUGCAUAUGUGAAUCCACACAUGCAUGCACAAACACACACACACACACACACACACACAUACCCACACAUAACAGAUGUAUUAACGUUUUUACUACUAAUGUGAAUCUUAACAAUGUUUACAGUAGAAAUCAGUCUGCCGGACAGAAAGACUGAACGCCUGACAGACAGGCGGACUCUCUAGCUGCAGCAUCCCAAAGGCCACGGGGUGUUUUCUGCCAUAUUAAUACAGACGGGACAGCUGUUCCAGAUGUGUCUCUUGCUGUCUAAAUAUUUUGUCUUCCAUCCAAGACAGAGCAGUGGAGGUAGAUAGAGAUAGAGACAGAACACGACAAAGAAAACAACCCCAGAAGAGGCAACAGUUUCCACCUCAGUCCUUUUGUAGCUCUCAAUGCCAAGCUUCAGUCGUCACACAUCUCUGUCAGCAAGCAAGUUUUCCCUUUUUCUUAAUUAUAAAAAAAGGCUGGAGGCCAGAUCAAGCGCCCAGUCAGCCCAAUCUACAGCAGCCACCUCUUCGCAAAGGUUCAGUGUGUAGGAUUUAUGGGGAUAUUUUGGCAAGAGUGGAAUAUAAUAAGAAUCGUCGUGUUUUUGUUUCCUUAGAAUGAGCCGUUUAUGUCGACAUAGGGAGCAGGUCAUAGAUGUAUUAAAAGACCUAGAUGCAGCGUUUGAGGGGCACAUGAAGCCAAAAACAUUCAACUACCGCAUAUAAAAAUUACCUGAAUGAUUGGUGCUGCUUCUACAUCAUCGGGCACACAGAGCAGGUGCAAUGGAGAAUUUCAGUGGUUGAGCUGGCGGCACAGCGGUACCCUCAGAGCAAGAGGGUUCCUGGUUCGACCCCUUCUGUCCCCUUGUCAGCGUGGGUUUCCUCCAGGUACUCCAGCUUCCUCCCACAGUCCAAAGACAUGCAGGUUAACUGGUGACUCUAAAUUGUCCGUAGGUGUGAAUGUGAGUGUGAAUGGUUGUCUGUCUCUGUGUGUCAGCCCUGUGAUAGUCUGGUGACCUGUCCAGGGUGAACCCUGCCUCUCGCCCAAUGUCAGCUGGGAUAGGCUCCAACCCCCCUGCUACCCCUAACAGAACAAGCAGUUACGGAGAAUGAAUGAAUGAAUAAUUGUGCUGGUUACUUACGGCUGGCUCUAGAUAGGGCCAUUUGUAUUUUCGUGUCUGCCACCGUAGCUAGCAGCCCCUCCAUGAGGAACAAGUCAGAAAUACACAGAUUUCUUAAAUGUGAAACUGCUUUAUUCAAUGUUUUUAGAAGUUUAAAUCACUGUGUCCGUUUGUUUAGAGGUCGAGACCUCUGUGGAUAAUUCAGAUCCUGGUUAAAACCUCCUGAACAUCCAGAUCUUAAAUUGUCAGAGAAUAAAGGUGAGGAUAGAUUAGCAGGUGCUAUGCUAGCAGCCCAUCUCUGACAUGCCAAAGCCACAGUAGAAACACUGAUUGUUAGCGUAAAACUGCUUUAUUCGUUGUUUUUACCGGUUUUAAUCACCAGGCCCAUUUGUUUUGAGGAGCAAGAGAUCUCUGCGGAUAAUUCAGCUCCCGUUAAAAACCUUAUUAACACUGUACACUGAAGGAAUUCUAACCAGGAGAAGUUUAAGGUUGUUGCAAUCUGCAAUCCUCACCACUAGAUGCCGCUAAAUCCCCCCUAAAUCUCGCACACUGGACCUUUAAUAACAGAAAAACUUCACAAGCAUAAAGAGAAAAGAAUCACCUUUCACAGUAAUGACAAUCACAGUCAGUGGCCUAAAUCUCUUCAUGGAUUGUACCAUAAAAUUAUGGCAAAAAGCUGAUAAAAGCCUGUCAUCGCCAUGUGGGAAUAGAGAAGCUUCCAAGUUAGAUUAUUUGAGUAAUUAUUUGUUGUUUUGAGUGAUAACUGCAUCCCCAAACCACUGGUGGAUGACAAAGAUUGGAACGAGAAGGAGAAAUGAUACGACAGAGGCUGAAUCUUCGAUGACACUCCCCCUCGCCUGCAGACUAACGAGGACAAAAAUUGUACCAGAGGGAUGCCAGAGUCUCAUCGGCUCCCCUCUCUUCACCUCACCACUCGAAUCCUAAUGUUGAAAGUGCCAACUAUAUCACCACACGGACAUCUGUAGAGCCUGGUGUCUGGGAGCCAGAGACUGGGACCAGAAAUAAUGGGUCUCAGGUUCACUUCUCUCGAGUUCCCAUGAGAGGAAAAAUAGCGAGGAUAUCACCAAUCAAAAAAUUCACAUUUGCAUUCCAGGCAGCCGACGGGUUUUCUUCUUUUAUUCUGUUAAGAAGAAAAUCAGCUGAUUCCUUAUGUUGCAAUCACUGGACCAAAAGUUUGAGGCCUUCCCCGUCAACCAAGGGACAUUUCUGGGUUGAAUCACUGACAAAAGGACGGACUUACUCCCCUCUUUAAACAACAAAGUCCACCCUCUGCCCUCCCUCUGCCAGAUAUCUUCAGCAGUUCAUGUUUUGUAACAAAACUCUGUGUUCAAAGUCGCUGCCCGGCGAGGCUCCCCCAGACCGGAGGACAGAAACAACAUUUUGUGUGUUUGCAUGAGGUGUUUCCAAACUGUUGCGUAUUUAAUCUCAUGCUGCGUGUGACUAACUAGCUACUUAAAACGGAAACUGUUUGGUUUGUUGAAUGCUCCUCAGCUCUCUUCAAAGAGUCCUAAAUGUGAACUUUGUGAUUUUUUCUAUAAAUAACAACAGUCUGAAAUGUCUGCAGAGUAAAAGGAGAUAAAAAUAGCUACUACAAUGUAAAACGAUGAAAUGUAACUUUGAACUUCUAGACGUUUUUUAAUCACAUGUGGCCGUGUUUACUGUUUUUUCUAGUUGACUACUAAUGUAUGAUGUUGUGUACAAGUGGGACUACUAUGUUUUAUUUCUUCUAAUUGUACAGUGUAUUUUGAGACGAGAGAGUAUGAGGAGAACGGGGAGGAAAAGGGAACUAGUUGCACUAUAGUCUGUAAUUCUUUCAUUAAGCGCUCUGUCAGGGCUGAAAUUCACUUUCACUUCAGCACAUAAUUAACAAUAUUAAUUUAUAUCUGAACUGUCAGCCAACACCUCACGUUUCUUUUCAAUAAAUGAAAUGACUG